rnacentral:rRNA from 1 species
AACGAACGCUGGCGGCGCGUUUAAGCAUGCAAGUCGAGCGGCAAGGGCCUUCGGGCCCCUAGAGCGGCGGACGGGUGAGUAACACGUGGACAAUCUGCCCCCCGGCCCGGGAUAGCCCAGGGAAACCUGGAUUAAUACCGGAUGAGACGGGACCCGCGAUGGCGGGAUCCGGGAAAGGCGCUGCGGCGCCGCCGGGGGAUGAGUCUGCGUCCCAUUAGCUAGACGGCGGGGUAACGGCCCACCGUGGCGACGAUGGGUAGCCGGCCUGAGAGGGUGGACGGCCACAUUGGAACUGAGACACGGUCCAGACUCCUACGGGAGGCAGCAGCUAAGAAUCUUCCGCAAUGGGCGAAAGCCUGACGGAGCGACGCCGCGUGAACGAAGAAGGCCGUGAGGUUGUAAAGUUCUUUUCGGGAGGGGGAACAACCGUGGCAGGGAAUGGCCGCGGGAUGACGUGAAUCCCGGAAUAAGCCCCGGCUAACUACGUGCCAGCAGCAGC